rnacentral:rRNA from 1 species
CCUACGGGAGGCAGCAGUGAGGAAUAUUGGUCAAUGGACGCAAGUCUGAACCAGCCAUGCCGCGUGCAGGAAGACGGCUCUAUGAGUUGUAAACUGCUUUUGUACGAGGGUAAACGCAGAUACGCGUAUCUGUCUGAAAGUAUCGUACGAAUAAGGAUCGGCUAACUCCGUGCCAGCAGCCGCGGUAAUACGGAGGAUUCAAGCGUUAUACGGAUUUAUUGGGUUUAAAGGGUGCGUAGGCGGUCGGAUAAGUUAGAGGUGAAAUCCCGAGGCUCAACUUCGGAAUUGCCUCUGAUACUGUGGGCUAGAGAGUAGUUGCGGUAGGCGGAAUGUAUGGUGUAGCGGUGAAAUGCUUAGAGAUCAUACAGAACACCGAUUGCGAAGGCAGCUUACCAAGCUACUUCUGACGUUGAGGCACGAAAGCGUGGGGAGCAAACAGGAUUAGAUACCCGUGUAGUC